rnacentral:lncRNA from 1 species
AAACAAGUGAUAAAAGUUGAGAAAAAACAAUAAAGAAAACCAAAUUCCUAAUACAAAAACCAAUAAUCUACUAUGAGAUGUCGUAGUAGCCUCCAACCAAAACCCUAAUUCCAAACAUUUCCCAUAUAAAAUCUAGGGACCUUCUACGGGUGGUCGUAGUAGCUGCUACGGGCCGUAGCAGGCCCAACACCCCAAUGUUCAAAUUUUUUAAUUUUUUCUCCAAAUUUGUCUUGGCCCGACCUUCUUUUAUCCCACACAAUCAUUCCCAUUAAAUCACCUAUAAACCUUCAAAAUCUAAAUUUUCAAAUCAUUUAAUCACAAAAUCUCUCCCUCCCUCUCUCUCUAAACCUC